UACGAAGGGGGCUAGCGUUGCUCGGAAUCACUGGGCGUAAAGGGCGCGUAGGCGGCGUUUUAAGUCGGGGGUGAAAGCCUGUGGCUCAACCACAGAAUGGCCUUCGAUACUGGGACGCUUGAGUAUGGUAGAGGUUGGUGGAACUGCGAGUGUAGAGGUGAAAUUCGUAGAUAUUCGCAAGAACACCGGUGGCGAAGGCGGCCAACUGGACCAUUACUGACGCUGAGCGCGAAAGCGUGGGGAGCAAACAGG
rnacentral:rRNA from 1 species